UUUAGAAAAAUCUUAAAUUCAGUAUGUAAUAAAAUAAAAUAAAAUAAUUCUGGCAAGAAUAUUGAAUCAUAAAAGUGAAAGGAAAAGAGCCAUAAUGUAUGGAUACAAAAGAUGCUUAGGAAUAAAUUAUUCCAUUACCCCCACCCUCAAACUUUAUCUUUUUUCCUAAUUACUUUUAUGUUUAUUCCAACGGAUGGAAACUAUGAGUGUACAUGAAUCAGUCGAGCUUUAACAAGAUAUGGUAACAAUAUAGAACAAAAGUCCUAUAUGUAUAAAUAACAAUAAAAAUUCAAGUUGAAUUGGAUCAACUCAAACAUAAAGCAAUCUAACUAUCAAACCAACUCAAAGUUGAGGCCAAACUGUUGGGUUUGAUAGUUAGCAUUAUUUAGAUGGUCAACCACCCCGAUGCAAACAUCUAUAUGUUCUUCCAUUUGACAAGUCCGUCAAAAUUUUAGAUUAUAUCUAACUUUGAUUAAGCAUAACACAUCACUGACAACCAAACACAAAACAUGAGAAUUUCAAGCAACCAUAAAACUUACAAGUCUUACAUCUUUCUGAAGACUUCCCAAAGCCAAGGGAGACUGCUUUUUUGGAUGUUCCUUCUCUUUCUUCUAUCAACACAAAAGAAAGCAUCUAUAAACUUUCAACCCACUACUUAAUUCAAAAGCUCAAACAGCUAAUUUAUAUAUUAAAUCUUAUUGUAUAUUUAUUAUUCUACAAACGUUUAUUAAACAAGUACACAUCUCAGACAUAUUGUCAUGAAAUCCAUGAAAAAACUCGAAAUCAGAAUCAUCAACAAUGCACCAUAAUAAUAAGAGGCAAAAUGAGCUUCCGAGCUGACCAUUUAUGCCUUAGGAGUUGAUGGAACUGGACCGCACAACUCAGAUACCAACUGUAUCAGCCUAUCUUUUUCAGCACCGACGAUCUUGUGAGAGCUAACUUCCACCUCAUCUCUCACGAAAGCAAAGGUCGGCAUUGCUUCAACGUCGAACCUCGCAGCAAUUGCCUGCAAAGACAAAGGGGCCAUUGUUUGAGAGAGAGAGAAAAGAUCAAAUCAACAAACCAGUUCCAUUCCACUGUAUCAAGAGGGCAUAAUACGAUAGUUUGGGAAAAGUUGAAAAUGGGAUAAAUUUCUUUACUUGAACUUCAUCAACGUCCACUUUCAGGAAAAUGGCAUGGUGGUUCUUCUUAGCCAAGUCUGCGAAUAUUGGAGCUAUGAAGCGGCAUGGUGGACACCAAGAAGCAGUAAAAUCCACCACAAUCUACCAAACAAAAUUCUAGAAACAUCAGCAGGAACAACAGAGCUGAAACUAUCUAUAACAAGGUGAAGUAUUCCAAAGACUUGUUCUAAAAAGACAGGAAACGAGUAACAGAGAAAAAUUGAAGAGAACGAUAAAUCAAAACAUUCGACUAUUCGUCCUAUUAGCAAUUUCAACACUCCAAAUGGAAUAUAUAACUAGUCAAACUUGAAGAACUUAAACGAAUAACUAGACACAAUCAAACAUAGAUAUCAUAAACCCCUAACGACGAAUCAAUCGCGAGUUUUCCCAAAUUACCGAACAGAAGAAACUCUAACAAUAACCAAAAAUGCAACAGAAAUUGUUAAGAUAUGAAAGAUGUUCCAAUAUACCUAAGCAUCAAAUCCAAAAUUCCACCGAAAUCACAUACGAAAAUGUAUCGAACGGAAGUAGAAAGGGAGAGUGCGAAAAUCAUACCACUUUACUCAUUUCCUUUCCUAUGCGUACUUGCGCGUCGAAUUCCUCAACGCUGUGAAUUGCAAUCACUUCCCCUUCUUUAGCCAUUGAUUCUAACAAGAAUCUGUGUCCUUCUGCAAAAGUUUACGCUGCGUUUGAAAAGGAAUCGAUAAAGAGAGACGAGGAGGGGGGAGGAUUUAUGUAGACCAAUCAAAGAGGAAUACACUUGGGGUGGCCGUGUGGACAGAAUUGUCUAUACGUGAGAGCAUACGGCAAAAAUGUGAAUGCAAAUUAUUUAAGUUUUUUUUUGGGUAAAAAUUAAUUUAAAUAUACUUGAAUAAUUAUUAAACAUUCUAAUUUAUUUCAAAAUAACUUGUUUUUUCUAAAAUUAAAUAUUUAAAAAUAUAUUUCAAACAUGUUUUAAUACAGUUUAAACUAUAUGUUAUUUUCAAAUACACCAAAAUAAAAAUAUAAUAAAGUAUCAUUGUUAAUGUCCUAAUAGAUAUAUCUUAUUCUAUUACAAUAUAUCACAAAUAGUUUGUGAUAUUUUAAUAUAUCUAUAAAUAUUUUUCAAAGUCUUAUCAUUUAAAAUAGUAAUAAGAUCGUUAAAUUUAGUAUUAUUAAAAUCACUUUACUAAAAAUAUAAAAUAAAACACAAUCAUGGAAUUCAAAUCUGAAGAUUUUUCUAUAAGGACAAAUGUAAUGAUAGACAUGAAAAAUAGGCAGAAUUAUCAUAGUUUAUUAGCCGUUAUCAACAAUUUUAAAUGAUAUUUUACCAUAUUUAUAAAUAUAUUAGUCAUUUACUAAAAUUACAUUUAACUUCACACAGUAAUUAACAUUGAAAGUGUUUGAUUUCUUUUGUCCAUUUUCUUAGAAAUUUUCAAUAAAAAAAAAAAGAAAAAACUAAAUUUUAUAGGCCACUAGUAGAUAUAUUCUUGGGAUGAGGUUUUCAUUUAUUGAUGUCAAAUGGGAAUAUCUAUUAAAUAAUAAUUUUAAAACAAAACUAAUAUUUAAAUGCCACUAAUUAUAUCCAUUGCACCUCUUGCUUUUAAACAAUAAUUGAAGAUUGGAAGAUGGAAUAUUCUAUUUCAUUUGUGCAUUUUAAUUUAUUUUGGUCAAUAUAUUUUUAAAUAUUUAUUUUGAUUGUUAUAUUUUUAUGUUGAGUUAGUUUAAUCAAUAUAUUUUGAAAGUGUAAAUUUUGGAUAUUGUAUUUUUAAUUUUAGUUUAUUUUGAUCUUCGAUUUGAAAGAAAAAAUUUGUCUUAUAAAAUGAAGGUAAUUGUUUUGCAUGCAAAGUAAUCAUUAUUAUACAAGCAAGUUUAGAAGAACAUUAAUCAAUAGUUUUCCUUUCAAAGAACUUCCAAGUGCUUUCCUACCUGCUUUUUAGAUUUUAAAGCUACUUUUAUUUGUUCACUAAAGUCUUUUUUUCUCAAGAAAAAAUAACACUUUUAUCACUAUAAAAGCAAUCGAUAAUGAUUUUUAAAAAAACUUUUUAAAAGCGCUUUUUAUAAAAUUAUUUUUAAGCCCCUUGGAAAAUCAAUCUAAAUAUGCUAUAAGAGCAUCCUAUAGAGAAGUUUUUUGACUUUUUCUAAUAACAAUAAGUUUGCAAAAGUGCUUUAAAAAGCAAGAACAAAUACCUUCAAUAUUUAUAGAAUAAAAGAGCAUCAAUCUAUAUUAGAGCAUUUGGGACAGCAAAUAAAUGAAUCAAAAUUUACUCCAUGGAUCAUAAUCAGUCCAUAAUAUUAAAGAUAUAAUCUAAUACAACUUUAGGAACCUGAAAGGUGACAAGCUAAUCAAAAGUCUGAAGAAAAUAACGAACCAUAAUAUGAUAAAACAUGGUAAUGAAAUAAUAACUUGGUACUUUUGAAUAACAAUUUUUUUACUACAUAAGAAGUUCUUAAUUGGAUAACUAAUGAACUAUUAUGGACAUUCCUAUAGCUAAGGCCACAUCAAAUUUUUAUCAUUUUUUAAUAUACGUUCAACAUCUUUUAGACAAAUCUUAAAUUCAAUAGGUAAUAAAAUAAAUAGAAAAUAAAAACUUCUUGCAAGAAUAUUGAAUCGUAAAAGUGAAAGGAAAAGAGCUAUAAUGUAUGGAUACAAAAGAUGCUUAGGAAUAAUUUAUUCCAUUACCCCACCAUCAAACUUUAUCUUUUUUUCUAAUUACUUUUAUCUUUAUUCCAAGAGAACGGAAAGUACGGGUGUACAUGGUAACAAUAUAGAACAAAAGUCAUACAUGUAUAAAUAAUAAUAGAAAUUCAAGAUGAAUUGGAUCAACUCAAAACAUAAAGCAAUUUAACUAAAAAACACAUAAAAUUCAAGUCAAACUAACUCAAAAGUGUAACUCUAAUGCAACCCAAACUGUUGGGUUGGGUAGUCAGCAGUGUUUAGAUGGUCCAUCGGACCACCUUGAUGCAGACGCCUAUUUGCGCUUUUCCUCCUCUCUCUCAUCCUAUUUUCUCAUACCGAAGGACCCCUAAAUCUUGACCAGAAAACGACUAGUCCUCCAAAAUUUUAGAUCUAAUCUAACCUGAUUAAGCAUAACACAUCACGUACGAUCAAACACAAAACAUGAGAAUUUCAGGCAACCAUAAAUCUUACAAGUCUUACAUCUUUCCGAAGACUUCCCAAAGCCAAGGGUAAGAAGAGAAAGAAAAGCAAAAGUAGAGUGUUUUUUUAGAUGUUCUUUCUCUUUCUUCUAUCAACACAAAAGAAAGCAUCUGUAAACUUUCAACCCACCACUUAACUCAAAAGCUCAAACAGCAAAUUUAUAUAUUAAAUCUUAUUAUACAUUUAUUAUUCUACAAACGUUCAUUAAACAAGUACACAUCUCAGACAUAUUGUCAUGAAAUCCAUGAAAAAACUCGAAAUUAGAAUCAUCAACAAUGCACCAUAUUAAUAAGAGGCAGAAUGAGCUUCCAAGCUGACCAUUUAUGCAGUAGAAGUUGAUGGAACUGGACCGCACAACUCAAUUACCUUGUCCAUCAGCCCAUUCUUGUCAGCACCGACGAUCCUGUGAGAGCUAACUUCCACCUCAUCUCUCACGAAAGCAAAGGUCGGCAUUGCAUCAACGUUGAACCUCGCAGCAAUUGCCUGCAAAGAAACAGGAGCCAUUGUUUGAGAGAGAGAGAGAGAAAGAAAAUAUCAAAUCAACAGACCAGUUCCAUUCCACUGUAUCAAGAGAGCAUAAUACGAUAGUUUGGGAAAAGUUGAAAAGGGGAUAAAUUUCUUUACUUGAACUUCAUCAACGUCCACUUUCAGGAAAAUGGCAUGGGGAUUCUUCUUAGCCAACUCUGCGAAUAUUGGAGCUAUGAAGCGGCAUGGUGGACACCAAGAAGCAGUAAAAUCCACCACA
rnacentral:lncRNA from 1 species